CACGGGGGGAACGAGCGUUGUUCGGAUUUACUGGGCGUAAAGGGUGCGUAGGCGGGUUGGCAAGUCGGGUGUGAAAUUCCAUGGCUUAACCAUGGAUCUGCAUUCGAAACUGCCGGUCUUGAGUACUGGAGAGGUGAGUGGAAUUCCCGGUGUAGCGGUGAAAUGCGUAGAGAUCGGGAGGAACACCGUUGGCGAAGGCGGCUCACUGGACAGAUUCUGACGAUGAGGCACGAAGGUCGGGGGAGCAAACAGG
rnacentral:rRNA from 1 species